rnacentral:rRNA from 1 species
AGUGAACGCUGGCGGUAGGCCUAACACAUGCAAGUCGAACGGCAGCACAGGAGAGCUUGCUCUCUGGGUGGCGAGUGGCGGACGGGUGAGGAAUACAUCGGAAUCUGCCCAGUCGUGGGGGAUAACGUAGGGAAACUUACGCUAAUACCGCAUACGACCUUCGGGUGAAAGAGGGGGAUCGCAAGACCUCUCGCGAUUGGAUGAGCCGAUGUCGGAUUAGCUAGUUGGCGGGGUAAUGGCCCACCAAGGCGACGAUCCGUAGCUGGUCUGAGAGGAUGAUCAGCCACACUGGAACUGAGACACGGUCCAGACUCCUACGAGAGGCAGCAGUGGGGAAUAUUGGACAAUGGGCGCAAGCCUGAUCCAGCCAUACCGCGUGGGUGAAGAAGGCCUUCGGGUUGUAAAGCCCUUUUGUUGGGAAAGAAAUCUUUCAGGCUAAUACCCUGGGAGGAUGACGGUACCCAAAGAAUAAGCACCGGCUAACUUCGUG